AAAUGAGACAAUUAUGUGUUAUAAAACAAUCAUAUGGCAACCUUGCUCAAUCCGAGGAAACACGAACACUCGCUAUCAAAACAGAGAGGAAAAUCAGUCGUUCCGUGGUGUCUGACCGAGUUGGGUGUUUUUCCGGCAAUAGUAGUAGCGUCAAAUCCUCGUAUCCAAACCAAAAACGCGCAACAAGUCCUCUUUCUGCUUCGCUUCUUCAUCACGGUUCAAUCUCGUACAGGAUUGCAUUGCGGUUGGGGUGUAAUUUGUACAGCUCUCUACAUUCAACUGGUUGGUGGCGGUGUGGAAAAGCGAAUUUUCCGCGGCAGAGUGUGAGAGGCGGAUAAUGUGCAUGAUAAAUUGAUACUCUUUGUGAACAGGCGGACAGCAGUAAUUGAAGAAUGGAAGAACUUACCGUGUCAUAGUGAAGCUUCGAAACGUUCGAUGUUAAAUCAACAAAAGAAUAUGAAGAGCACCGACGAGCUAUAAACGUUGAACAAAUCAACUUGUAUUAAACAAAAGGCAAACGAAAGUGUCGAUGAAAUCAUCAUUGUAUCAGGGAAAUUUAAUGCACUGAAGUAAACGAAGAACGAACAAAGUGGAAAUUCCGUCGGGAGGACCGAGCCGCGGAUUUUUCCAAUCAAUUGGAUUUUUAUGGAGGCAUUCACAGCUGCACAGCGUGAUUGAUGAAGGAUAAUAAAAACAGGAUAUUGCUCGCAUAUUGCCAUUAUCGUUAGACUUUGCGAGCUGCACGAGGACUCGCGCCACCUUUCAAUAGUAAACGACCGGCACAUGGAGCAGAAAGAGAUUAACACCACUAAUCGAGAAUAUGUGCUAAUUAAAAGGACUCAUCUGGACAUCAAGUGAUUCCCGGAACAAGAUGUUUACCCAAAACGAAUGUGAUCAGAAUCGUCGACGAAAAACAAUACCAACUGCAGUAGAACCACAUAACUUGGAGCUACAGCAGUCUCUGUCAGAGCCAGAAGGGCUUCCAUCAGCAGCGUAUCAUCAACUUCACCAUGGUCGUCGCUAUCGUCAAGCUCAGUAACAAUGCACGCCCUUCGCCAGUAGGCAACGAAUGCUAGGAGCAGCGGGGCCCGGCACAUCAUUCUCUGCGUAAAGGCCUACCGAGAGCAAAUUAUUGGAUUCAUCUGGCUGGAAAAUUUUGCACGCUCCAACAGGUCCGUAACUGCUGGGAAACCCAGACCCAGUCCCAAAAGUAGCACUGCCCGGCUAUGGAAGGCGAGGUUAGCGUUCUUCUCGUGAUAACAGUGAUAAUCGGAACAGUGCUAAUGACAUCGCUGCUCGCAUGUUACAUUUGUGUGUUUAGACAGCUGUGCUGUUCUAACGAUAUGGAUCUGGACCGCAGCUACAGCCAACGGAGCUCCAAAAGGACAUACACUCUGCGGGAUAGCACCAACAUGGCGGAAAUCACCAACAUCACCAGUCAGCAGACGGAAAUUGAAAAGGUCUAGCCUAGGCCGGGCGAAGCUAUCACUUCGCUCUAACAGUCCACCUUCCGGGAGAUAGGAAGUUUAUUGCUUGGUAUGCAAAUGUGAUCAAACGGGAAUUAAUUUGUGGCACCCUUGGGUUUGUAAAUAAUUAUGCUGCUAGUUUUACUGGUAGAGCUAGUGCUCAGAAUGUGGAAACAUUGUUCAGAGUGGAAUGUGUAGUUAGUUUUUAAUGUUCUUAGGUGGGAUAACUAAUCAAAUUACGCCAAAAGAUCGCUGAACAGCGUCGUUGUACGACAAUUUAUAGACAUAUGUAUAUUUAAAGGAUUUUUUAUAUAAUACCCAAAAGAAAUACUUGUAACAACCUAAACUGGAAUAAUUUACAAAAGUUCCAAAUUCAUU